rnacentral:rRNA from 1 species
UACAGAGGUGGCAAGCGUUGUUCGGAAUUACUGGGCGUAAAGGGCGCGUAGGCGGCCUUCUAAGUCAGACGUGAAAUCCCCCGGCUUAACCUGGGAACUGCGUCUGAUACUGGAAGGCUUGAGUGCGGGAGAGGGAUGUGGAAUUCCAGGUGUAGCGGUGAAAUGCGUAGAUAUCUGGAGGAACACCGGUGGCGAAGGCGGCAUCCUGGACCGACACUGACGCUGAGGCGCGAAAGCGUGGGGAGCGAACGGGG